rnacentral:rRNA from 1 species
UCGAGCGCACCUUCGGGUGAGCGGCGGACGGGUUAGUAACGCGUGGGAACGUACCCUUUUCUACGGAAUAGCCUUUGGAAACGAAGAGUAAUACCGUAUACGCCCUUUGGGGGAAAGAUUUAUCGGAGAAGGAUCGGCCCGCGUUAGAUUAGAUAGUUGGUGGGGUAACGGCCUACCAAGUCUACGAUCUAUAGCUGGUUUUAGAGGAUGAUCAGCAACACUGGGACUGAGACACGGCCCAGACUCCUACGGGAGGCAGCAGUGGGGAAUCUUAGACAAUGGGCGCAAGCCUGAUCUAGCCAUGCCGCGUGAGUGAUGAAGGCCUUAGGGUCGUAAAGCUCUUUCGCCUGUGAUGAUAAUGACAGUAGCAGGUAAAGAAACCCCGGCUAACUCCGUGCCAGCAGCCGCGGUAAUACGGAGGGGGUUAGCGUUGUUCGGAAUUACUGGGCGUAAAGCGCACGUAGGCGGAUUGGAAAGUUGGGGGUGAAAUCCCGGGGCUCAACCCCGGAACUGCCUCCAAAACUAUCAGUCUAGAGUUCGAGAGAGGUGAGUGGAAUUCCAAGUGUAGAGGUGAAAUUCGUAGAUAUUUGGAGGAACACCAGUGGCGAAGGCGGCUCACUGGCUCGAUACUGACGCUGAGGUGCGAAAGUGUGGGGAGCAAACAGGAUUAGAU